UCCCUUGUAGCUUAGCUGGUAACGAAUCCGCCUGCAAUGCAGGAGGCCUGGGUUCGAUCCCUGGCUUGGGAA
rnacentral:tRNA from 1 species